CUACGUGCCAGCAGCCGCGGUAAUACGUAGGGUGCGAGCGUUAAUCGGAAUUACUGGGCGUAAAGCGGGCGCAGACGGUUACUUAAGCAGGAUGUGAAAUCCCCGGGCUCAACCUGGGAACUGCGUUCUGAACUGGGUGACUAGAGUGUGUCAGAGGGAGGUAGAAUUCCACGUGUAGCAGUGAAAUGCGUAGAGAUGUGGAGGAAUACCGAUGGCGAAGGCAGCCUCCUGGGAUAACACUGACGUUCAUGCCCGAAAGCGUGGGUAGCAAACAGGAUUAGAUACCUUGGUAGUCCACGCCCUAAACGAUGUCGAUUAGCUGUUGGGCAGCAUGACUGCUUAGUAGCGAAGCUAACGCGUGAAAUCGACCGCCUGGGGAGUACGGUCGCAAGAUUAAAACUCAAAGGAAUUGACGGGGACCCGCACAAGCGGUGGAUGAUGUGGAUUAAUUCGAUGCAACGCGAAGAACCUUACCKGUCUUGACAU
rnacentral:rRNA from 1 species